rnacentral:rRNA from 1 species
UUCCUAUAAAGCUCGUAGUUGGAUCUUGAGGUCUCUGCUGCUUGGGUCCGCCGGAAUGGUGAGUACUCUUCAGCUGGCCUCUUCCUACUGGAUCUCCGGUACUGCACUUAAUUGGGUGGUACAGUCAGCCUUCGGGUUGGCCGCUUCGCGUUCACGCUGCCGAGUGUGAGUCUGCAGAGCCGCGUGUGAUGCGUGGCCGAGUGGGCCGUUCGGAUCACAGUCUGGGCGUGGAGUGGGAAUCCAGUUCGUUUACUUUGAGUAAAUUAGAGUGUUUAAAGCAGCCUCUUGGGGCUUUGAAUACAUUAGCAUGGGAUAAUGGAAUAGGACUUUGGUUCUAGUUUGUUGGUUUGGAGGACUAAAGUAAUGAUUAAUAGGGAUAGUUGGGGGUACUUGUAUUUAAUUGUCAGAGGUGAAAUUCGGUGAUUUAUUAAAGACAAACUUAGGCGAAAGCAUAUACCAAGGAUGUUUUCAUUAAUCAAGAACGAAAGUUAGGGGAUCGAAGACGAUUAGAUACCGUUCCGUAGUCA